UACGUAGGUGGCAAGCGUUGUCCGGAAUCAUUGGGCGUAAAGCGCGUGUAGGCGGCCAGAAAAGUCCGCUGUGAAAACUCGAGGCUCAACUUCGAGCUGUCGGUGGAAACUUUCUGGCUAGAGUCCGGAAGAGGAGAAUGGAAUUCCUGGUGUAGCGGUGAAAUGCGCAGAUAUCAGGAAGAACACCCGUGGCGAAGGCGGUUCUCUGGGACGGUACUGACGCUGAGACGCGAAAGCGUGGGGAGCGAACAGG
rnacentral:rRNA from 1 species